UCCUCGAUUCCAAGAUUCUUUAUUCUUGUUUACUUUCCGAGAACUUUCCCAAGUAAAAAACGAAUGAGUCUGUUUGGCUUUUUCUCUUUAACUUUCGCUUUAAAGUUUAAAGCUUUAAUUGGCAUAUCAUAAAUGGAUAAUGGCCUUUUAACUAGUAUAUUUGCUCUCAUAUCCUCAACUCUCUUGAACUCUUGAAUUCUGCGUAUUUUAUUGUUUAAAAAUUUUCAAAACCUGAAUUGGGUUUUCUAAUUCUAGCCAGAAAUGCCACCUUCAUACUUCCCUCUUAGGUGGG
rnacentral:misc_RNA from 1 species